rnacentral:rRNA from 1 species
UACAGAGGUCCCAAGCGUUGUUCGGAUUCACUGGGCGUAAAGGGUGCGUAGGUGGUGAGGUAAGUCGGAUGUGAAAUCUCCGAGCUCAACUCGGAAAUGGCAUUGGAAACUACCUUGCUUGAGGGUUGGAGGGGGGACUGCAAUACUUGGUGUAGCAGUGAAAUGCGUAGAUAUCAAGUGGAACACCAGUGGCGAAGGCGAAGUCCCUGGACAACUCCUGACACUGAGGCACGAAAGCUAGGGGAGCAAACAGG